rnacentral:rRNA from 1 species
CUACGGGGUGCACCAGUGAGGAAUAUUGCACAAUGGGGGGAACCCUGAUGCAGCAACGCCGCGUGGAGGAUGACGCAUUUCGGUGUGUAAACUCCUUUUAUAUGUCAAGAAAAUGACGGUAGCAUAUGAAUAAGCACCGGCUAACUCCGUGCCAGCAGCCGCGGUAAUACGGAGGGUGCAAGCGUUACUCGGAAUCACUGGGCGUAAAGCACGCGUAGGCGGAUUGGAAAGUCAGGUGUGAAAUCCUACAGCUUAACUGUAGAACUGCACUUGAAACUUCUAAUCUUGAGUAUGGAGAGGGAGAUGGAAUUAGUGGUGUAGAGGUGAAAUCCGUAGAUAUCAGUAGGAAUACCUAAGGCGAAGGCGAUCUCCUGGAACGUUACUGACGCUAAGGCGUGAAAGCGUGGGGAGCAAACAGGAUUAGAUACCCCGGUAGUC